UACGUAGGCAGCAAGCGUUGUUCGGAAUUACUGGGCGUAAAGAGUGUGUAGGCGGUGUUCUAAGUCUGUUGUGAAAUCUCCCGGCUUAACUGGGAGGGUGCGGCGGAAACUGGAAUGCUAGAGGAUGGGAGAGGUAAGCGGAAUUCCUGGUGUAGCGGUGAAAUGCGUAGAUAUCAGGAGGAACACCGAUGGCGAAGGCAACCGCCUGGGCCUGUACUGACGCUGAGACACGAAAGCGUGGGGAGCAAACAGG
rnacentral:rRNA from 1 species